GAUGAACGCUGGCGGCGUGCCUAAUACAUGCAAGUCGAGCGAACGGACGUGAAGCUUGCUUUUCUGAUGUUAGCGGCGGACGGGUGAGUAACACGUGGAUAACCUACCUAUAAGACUGGGAUAACUUCGGGAAACCGGAGCUAAUACCGGAUAAUAUUUUGAACCGCAUGGUUCAAAAGUGAAAGACGGUCUUGCUGUCACUUAUAGAUGGAUCCGCGCUGCAUUAGCUAGUUGGUAAGGUAACGGCUUACCAAGGCAACGAUGCAUAGCCGACCUGAGAGGGUGAUCGGCCACACUGGAACUGAGACACGGUCCGGACUCCUACGGGAGGCAGCAGUAGGGAAUCUUCCGCAAUGGGCGAAAGCCUGACGGAGCAACGCCGCGUGAGUGAUGAAGGUCUUCGGAUCGUAAAACUCUGUUAUUAGGGAAGAACAUAUGUGUAAGUAACUGUGCACAUCUUGACGGUACCUAAUCAGAAAGCCACGGCUAACUACGUG
rnacentral:rRNA from 1 species